rnacentral:rRNA from 1 species
AAUUUUGGACAAUGGGGGAAACCCUGAUCCAGCCAUCCCGCCUGUAUGAUGAAGGCCUUCGGGUUGUAAAGUACUUUUGGCAGAGAAGAAAAGUUACCUACUAAUCCGAGGUACGACUGUCGGUAUCUGCUGGAUACGGACUGCCGAUCUACGUGCCAGCAACCGCGGUAAGAGUUAGGGUGCAAGCGUUAAUCGGAAUUACUGGGCGUAAAGCAGGUGUAGGCGGGUCGGAAAGAAAGAUGUGGAAUCCCAGGGCUCAAUCUUAGAACUGCAUUUUUAACUGCGGAGCUAGAGUAUGUCAGAGGGGGGUAGAAUUCCACGUGUAGCAGUGAAAUGCGUAGAUAUGUGGAGGAAUACCGAUGGCGAAGGCAGCCCCCUGGGAUAAUACUGACGCUCAGACACGAAAGCGUGGGGAGCAAACAG